UGACGUCAUUCUAUGCGACUACCACAGUAAAGGAAAAGCCUGGAUCUGUACAUCUUUUUCUUUUCUUUUUGUUGUCUAAAACACAAAAAUCGCGAAACAGUCAGCUCACAAAGUUGCAGGUGAAGGUGCUGCCCACCCAUGAUACCAGCAAGGUGCGUGCAAGUGGAUCCGGCCUUAACACCACUGGAGCGCCCACCUCUCUGCCAGUGAAGGUCACCAUUGAUGCCAAAGAUGCAGGACCCAGAGGGGAAGCCCAAGAAGCAGAUAUCUGUGACAGCCAUGAUGGGACCUACCUGGUGUUUUAUGUGCCAGACAUGACUGACAGAUACACCACUCUCAUUAAGUACGGAGGAGACAAGAUCCCUUAUUCACCCUACUGAAUCAGGGCUCUGCCCACCGGAGAUGCCAGCAAGUGCACUGUCACUGAAUGUUGUCCAGUGGCCAGCUGCUCGGUCCAUCCAGACUCCCCUCGAUAUACAACAGUGAUGCCAGCAACUCAAAUACAAGCU